ensembl:lncRNA novel transcript
CCUGUCACAAAAAACCCACAUUCUUGUCAUAGAAGUGGCCAGCUGGGCCCGUGUCCCUGGAAGCCAAAGAUGAGGGCACGUAGCCCGAGGACUCGAGGAUGGCGGAGGAGGACCAGACCCCCAGGGCCGCCGAGCCCUUCCUCACUCCCAUGGAGCCCCCUGAGACUGGCAGACACGUGCCAAGCAGAGCUCGAGGGGCAUGGCCACCACCUAGGUUUGGGAGAGAGAAAAGGGGCCCAGAAUCUCCUUCUCCAAGAGGAAGCUGGAGCUCUUCCUUGCAGAGCCUGAGAAAAGGAAGAGGAAGAAGCAGUAGGUGGCCUAAUCCAAGAACCACCGCAAAGCUUUAUCCUUCUGAUACAAAAUGAAGUCUUACAAAGUUGAAAACUAAAGGCAGCCCCCAAAAAGGAAUUCACUCUUGAAUGCAGUGUUUCAAGAAUUCAAAGGCCAACAC